rnacentral:rRNA from 1 species
UACAUAGGGAGCAAGCGUUAUCCGGAAUGAUUGGGCGUAAAGCGUCUGUAGGCGGUUCAAAAAGUCUACUGUCAAAUACGUUGGCUCAACCAACGGCAGGCAUUAGAGUACUAUUGAACUAGAGUGUGGUAGAGGUAGAGGGAAUCCCUAGCGUAACAGUGAAAUGUGUAGAUUUUAGGGAGAACACCAGCGGCGAAGGCGCUCUACUGGGCCAUUACUGACACUGAGAGACGAAAGCUAAGGGAGCGAAAGGG